GAUCCGCCCCCAGCGCGCGCGCGUCUCGGCGCCAGGAGCCGUCCCGGGGCGUGUUGGCGAGCGCUGAUAUAGAUAUAAGGACAUUUCUCUUCAUGGCGUCACGUGACAUAAUUACCACCAGAAUCAAUCAAGAUGAAUUGCACGUCAGCGCCCGGUGGGGAUUUUUGCUUAGUUGAUCCUGGCCCAAGCCUCUUGUGCAAUCGAUGGCUCAGGUUGGCUGCGCGGGGAGCGGCCCGGGGCUCGCCGGCGCGCACGCCGCGGAGCCAUGAACGACUUUGACGAGUGCGGCCCGAGCGCAGCCAGCAUGUACCUGCCGGGCUGCGCCUACUAUGUGGCCCCGUCUGACUUCGCUAGCAAGCCUUCGUUCCUUUCCCAACCGUCGUCCUGCCAGAUGACUUUCCCCUACUCUUCCAACCUGGCGCCGCACGUCCAGCCCGUGCGCGAAGUGGCCUUCCGCGACUACGGCCUGGAGCGCGCCAAGUGGCCAUACCGCGGCGGCGGCGGCAGCAGUGCUGCUGGGGGCGGCGGCGGCGGCGGGGGCGGCCACGGCGGGGGCGGCGGCGGCGCCGGGGGCUACGCUCCCUACUACGCGGCCGCGGCGGCUGCAGCUGCAGCGGCCGCAGCGGCCGAGGAGGCAGCCAUGCAGCGCGAGCUGCUCCCUCCCGCGGGCCGCCGGCCGGACGUGCUCUUCAAAGCGCCUGAGCCGGUGUGCGCUGCGCCCGGGCCGCCGCACGGCCCCGCGGGUGCCGCUUCCAACUUCUACAGCGCGGUGGGCCGCAAUGGCAUCCUGCCGCAGGGAUUCGACCAGUUCUACGAGGCGGCGCCUGGGCCCCCGUUCGCCGGGCCGCAGCCCCCGCCGCCGCCCGCGCCGCCACAGCCCGAGGGCGCUGCCGACAAGGGCGACCCCAAGACCGGGGCUGGCGGGGGCAGUCCCUGCGCUAAGGCGACCCCCGGGUCGGAGCCCAAGGGGGCAGCGGAAGGAGGCGGUGGCGACGGCGAGGGCCCCCCGGGGGAGGCAGGGGCCGAGAAGAACAGCGGCACAGUGGCCCCCCAGCGGUCCCGAAAGAAGCGCUGUCCCUACACCAAGUACCAGAUCCGCGAACUGGAACGCGAGUUUUUCUUUAACGUGUACAUAAACAAAGAAAAAAGACUACAACUCUCUCGGAUGCUCAACCUCACUGACCGGCAAGUCAAAAUCUGGUUCCAGAAUCGCAGGAUGAAAGAAAAGAAACUGAACAGAGACCGUCUGCAGUAUUUCACUGGAAACCCCUUAUUUUGAGAGCUCCAGGAAGCGCCCCCUUCCCCGAGCCCCACUCACCCACCAUCCUCCCCACCAGCCUGCCCUCUGCAGGUCCAAUGUCCUUGGGUUUAAUGACGCCUCUUCUCUGUGGAACUUCACCAUUUCUUCCCACGGUCAACUCGGGACCUCCCAGCGACCACUGCAGCCUGCGGACGAGGCCGAGGACUUGGCCGAGCGGAUCCUAAUAAGGGGAAAAUGGGGCCUGGAGAUCCACACGAGGGCGCGCUCACGUUCCAGAAGCCGAGUUUGACCCAGAGGCAGCGGUACCUUAUCUUUCCAAUACUGGAUUCUAAUAGGCGAUCUCCGCCUGUUAGAAACAGGCGGCAGCUAAGGUGUUUGCUGUUUGUUUGUUCUAAGCAACCACGAGGUGUGAGAAGUUGUAUAGAGACAGAGAAAAGGGAGCCACCAGAUUCAUGAAACAGGAGAUGACCUAAUUGUUGUCUCCUUAAAGAUAAAGCUGUUUGCAAAGAAUACCUUGGUAUAACCUGAUGGUGUUGAGAAGAGAGUUUUAAAAGACAAAUAUAUGCGUUUUUAAAUAUGUCAUGGUCACUGCGCGUUAAUUAAAUUAGGGA